GUGAGCGGAUGCGUGAGUGUGUGUGCAGAGUGAGUCUCAGGAGCGUACUGGUGGAGGGUCAUCAUGGUGUCUGUGGGUUUAGCAGCACUCAUAAUAACUGUUGUGGCGGUCAACAUAUGGAUGAGAACUAAAGGAAACAGAACAGAGAUGGAUGGCAAUGCUGAGCAUCAUGAUGAAGAUGAAGGUACAGUGACCUAUGACAAUGUUGGAGAACCUUCUGUUUCUAUCAGACUCCACUGAUCAAAAACUUCAACAUCAACUCACCAGAAAAAAAAGAAAAACUGUAACAUAAUUUUGAGUCAUAUCUAAAAACUGAAGUGUAACUUGUAUUUCAGUUUAACAAAUACAUCUUGAUGUUAGGAUUCGACUCAUUGCUUUUAAAGGUAAAGCUUUGCUCAUAUUUCAAAGUUAAAUCUGUGUAUAUAUGUAUUAGAAAUUAAGAUAAGAGAAACUUUAUUGUCAUCCUUUUAUAUACAAUGCAGUAGCCUAGAAAUCUAGACGCACCCUAGCAGCAGCAAAUAUAAUUUGCAGCCAGGAUCAGUCGAGCAACUCUCCGUUGGCUUGCGAGCU